rnacentral:tRNA from 1 species
GGCUCGUUGGUCUAGGGGUAUGAUUCUUGCUUCGGGUGCGAGAGGUCCCGGGUUCAAAUCCUGGGCGAGCCC